UGUGCCUUCAUAUACAUUAUAGAAACAAAACAAAGCAGGGGCAAGUUUGUAGCUUGACAUACAGGACAAGUAAUACACACGCGAGAAAGACACAUGACAUAAUGACAUUAGCUAAAAAUAGACAUAUUGUUUAGCAUAGUUUGACAUUUAGAUGAAGAAGAAAAUGUUGUGGAAGCUGUAGCUUGACAUAAAGAUCAGAGCAUACAAUACAUACACUGGAUAGUAGCUUGACAUACGAACAAAGAAGUACAUGCAACGCGUUACUGUUGUCAUACAGAAUAGUAAACAGAGCACACAGGCUAGUAGUUUCAAGUACAGGAUGAGAACAAAACAAUUCAUAGACGGCUUAGUAGCUUCAAGUUCAGGAUAAGAUCAAAACGAUAUACAGUUUAUUUUCUUAACAGAAAAACAAGAAUAAAACGAUGCAUACACUGGUAGUAGGUUGGCAUUCAAGGUAAGAGUAAAACCAUUAACGUUCAAAACAAUAAAGGAUAGGGCACAGCAUACAUGAUUGGCAGAAGCUUAAAGUACAAAAUAAGAAUAAAAUAUAGCGUACAUUGAUUAGCAGCUUAACGUACAAAAACAAAACAGUGCAUACAUUGAUAGUAGAUUGACGUAGAAGAUUACAGGGAUGACAUGCACACACAGGUCACAUGGUUGUCAUACAGGAUAAAAUAAAACACUAAACCAACAAAA